UUUCCGUAGGUGAACCUGCGGAAGGAUCAUUAUUGAAUGAAACACUUCUGGCUUUAUGCUGUUGUGCUGGCCCUUUGGGCAAUGUGCACACGGCUCUGGUCACUUGUUUCUUCUGUUCCACCUGUGCACUGCCUGUAGACACGCUGUGUCUAUGAUAUUUGUUAACACACAACAAUGUUAGUUGGCAUGUUAUGUAUAAUAAUAAAAUAUACAACUUUCAACAACGGAUCUCUUGGCUCAC
rnacentral:misc_RNA from 1 species